UCUCUUCCAAGUGGCUGGGUCCAUUUGUUUCCCCUCAUGAAACACGAGUUCAGAGUCACUCUUGAUGGCUGCUGUUUCAUGAGCCAUGUUUCAGCAGCCAUAUUCUUCACUUGGUGGGCAGUGCUUGGCCACUUGCCUUCUGCGACCUUCCUCGUGUACGUACUUGGCAAUGAAGCCAUAGUUCUUCAUGAUACACAUCUCCCUGUGUGUGAGACCACCGGAGGGCUUGUUUUUUUUUCCUCCCGACUCUAUCUCUCAGAGUUGAUCUUGGUUUGCAGCUGCACAGCUGUUCAGCCUUUACUUGAAAGGCUCUUGCUUUUUAUUUUGGUUUUUGAAGUCAGCCCUCUCACUGUUGUAUAAGAAUUCAUUCUCCUUAUACCAGUCGGCAAGAUCUUUCUCUUCUUCAGCUCCAAGUGUGAGAGCUGCGGCUGAACUUCUUUGUUUCCUGUGAACCUGCUCCUUGAGUCUUGUUGCUGUAUGUUCUCCUCCCUUCAAACGAGUCCUGAAGGGGAAGAAAUCCGCUUUGGGAUUUUUUUUUCUACAGCAAAGGAAACGGCUCAAGGGCAAAAAAAGGAGAUAGUAAUGAAAGAAAGCCCGCAACUCACUGCCCCUAUAGAAAAGCAUUCAGAGGGGUGGCCAAAAGAGAGGUCAAUUUCGGGAGGAGAGGUGUCCCGAUAACCUCCUCUUGAAAGAGUUCAAGUCAUAAGCAGGAGGAAACACAGAUGAAGGAAGAUUGUUCCAGAGAUUACCAGUGUGAGGGAUGAAAGAGUGACGAUGCUGGUUAACUCGUGCGUAAGGGGUUUGGACAGUAAAGGGAUGAGCUUGAGUAGAAAGUCGAGUGUGGUGAGGGCGUGGGAGGGGGGAGAGGGAUGCAGUUAGCAAGUUCAGAAGAGCGGUCAGCCACAUAUUCCCCCCCCAGAGUCUCCCGUCCCAUCCCAACAACCCAUCCCUCCCUCCUCCUCUCAGUGCCAGCCACAUUCUCCCCUCCCAGAGUCUCCCGUCCCAUCCCAACAACCCAUCCCUCCCUCCUCCCCUCAGUGCCAGCCACAUUCUCCCCUCCCAGAGUCUCCCGUCCCAUCCCAACAACCCAUCCCUCCCUCCUUUCCUCUGCAGUCCACCUCCAGUCAGCCUGAUCAGCCCUGGGGAGCCUGACUGCUCCAUCAUCUUCAGUCACCCAGGAUGUGAAGAACAAACUACAGAGCAUGUGGUGUGUGCUGGGAUGCCUUGCAGGAGAUCACGCUGGGAUACGAAGCCGCCCCUCAAGAGAUGGAGUCCAUUCAGCUGUUCAAUUCUGCCGAGGGAAAAGAAUCAUUCAACUCUGAAGACUGCCAUGGAUUCUUAUGUAUUAGCUAGCGAGAUGUGAACUUUCUAUCUCGUGAAAAUAAAGUUCAGGGACGUA